CUAGAGUCAAUGAAACAUUCUUAUCUCAAACCAAAAUAAGGUGUACCUCUUAUAUUCAGUGGCUGUAAAAGAGAGCAAGUUUGGGAAUGUAUGAGGCCUGUUGCCUAUAUGGAUUUCUCUAAGGGACCCCGAAGACACUG